rnacentral:lncRNA from 10 species
AAAUGAACGGCCCUUUCCUAUGGCUAGAACCAGAUGCAUUCACAAAGGGAACAUAUGAUGUUCAUGGAGAAACAAUUGGAAGAUUUGAACAUCUUGUUCAAUAAGAACCCAUACCCAAACCUCAGCCUUCAGAAAGAAAUGGCCUCAAAAAUGGACAUGUAUCCAACAGAAAAAAAACAGAACAAAACUCAAGAAAGCAAAAUGCAAGCUUAUUCAGCAAACACAAUCUCAACAACAGCAAUUAGCUGAGGAUAGAGUCAAGACCAGUCCUUCCUAAGAAAUACAGAUAUACCAGCCAAAUCUCCUAAUGAUGCCUAUCUUGUAGUCCUAGUUUAUACAGAUCACUGGGCACCCUGGUUGCGACUCACGUUAUGCUCCGAUGUUAAGGUCCCUACAGAUGACUUUGUUGUCCACAAAACACUUCAUUUUGACUGCUGCCAAGAUCCUAGAACAUACUGCUUCUGCUUCUAUCCCAUUUUUGGAAUCCUGAGUUUAUUCUCCAUGUUUCAAUUCUAAUUCUUUUGACUGUUCACCUCUACAAAGUAGAGAGAGAUACU